rnacentral:lncRNA from 1 species
AAUAAUACGAGUGACACAAGUCACAAAACAUAACUUCUACAGUUCUACCUUCAUUUUCAUCACUCAGGGUCGCUCAUCCUUUCUAAUUAACGUGUCAUUUGUGUCACCGACACGAACAAGACGUGUAUUAUAUGGAAAGUGCCUUUCACUUUUCAGCAUGCAUCUACUCUAUAAUAUAUAUACAGACCAAAGCUCGUAGAUGACUUACUCUAGAGGGCCGGUCUAACUAUUUUC